UCGGCAGGAAAAAAAGCUUGCUUCUUCCUGAAAAAGAGAAGAAGAGGAAAGUCCGGACUUUACGGGAUAGAGAGCCGGGUAAUACCCGGGGGUUUUAUUUUAAAACCACGGAAAGUGCAACAGAAAAAAAACCGCCUGAAAAAUUUUUCAGGUAAGGGUGAAAUGGCGGGGUAAGAGCCCACCGGGCAGCCGGGCAACCGGAAGCCGCAAGGUAAACCCCUCUUAAAAGCAAUGCCGAAAGCGCAAUACGCCCGUUAAUUUGCCAGGUAGGCAGCUAGAAAAAAGAAUGUAAAUUCUUUUUCCAGAGAAAUAGCUUAUAAACAGAAUCCGGCUUAUUUUCCUGCCUUAGAC
rnacentral:RNase_P_RNA from 3 species